GACACUCUACUCACUGUCCCCCCGCCCCUCAUUUCUCCAGACCUCAGAGAGGAACGGCGGAAAGCUGAGAGCUCAUUGGCGCGCGCGCCCUCACAUCGGGCGACGGUUGGUCAGAGAGCGUUGAACAUUCGGUCCCCACCCCCUAGCCGCCGAGUGGCGCGCUGCCCUAUUGGUUCACAGGUUGCGCUAAUCGCUUGCUCCUCCCCCUUCCCUUCUGCCGUUUUCCCCGCCUACCCGCCGUUUUAUUUGUAAACAUUCCCUCCCGCCUCCUGAAGUGGGCGGGUGCUAGGUCGCCCCGAGAUGAAGGGGCGACGCUGACUGACUCCUUGGGACUGCCAGUCAUUCUAGGCUGAGAGAAGGAGGGGUGUCCCCUCUGGCUCGGACCUCACAUAAUUCUGGGGGAAAGAGGGGCGCGGUAGUGGGGGAAGGGAAGAAGAGGUUACCCCCCCCCAUCGUCCCUGACUCGCCUAUCCCCGAAAAGCGGAGAUGGGUCCUGGGCCAUCGGGUCCGCCAACCCCCUAAUGGGGAAGUAGGAGAAGGAAGGGGAGGGGUAGCCCCACCCCCUGUUGCUGAGGGGAAAGAGAGAGAAGACGGUUCCAGGCCCUUGGAGGUGGGAAUACUAAUGAGAGAGACAGAGCGAGAAGGGAGCAUUGAAGCGGCUGCCCAGAGCACAGCACCGUGCGCUAGCUACUCAUUACCUUACCCCUCAGGGAGUGAGGACUCCUGGAGGAUGAAGAAAUGUUUUUUACAGGAGGCUUGAGAUCUCUUCUUCCCCUUGCAGUCAGAAGUCUAAUUCGAUUCAACAAACUCAAUAUAAGUAAUACUUCUGGAAUGGCUAAGGGCUAUAAACAGGCAAAUGUUGUGAUUUUGCAUAAAUCCCUUGCUGAUGACUUUGAAAAGUUUUGCCAUGCAAAUGAUGGACCUCUCCCGCUGCUGUACAGAAGUAAACCAGGUGAAUGGAAAUGUCCUUCUCUGAGCAGCAAUUCUGAUAUCAGAACUGAUUGCCUACAAUACAGGAUAUAUGAGUAUGGAGCUUGUACUGGCACUUCGACAAGCCUAAAGGAUUAUUUUGAUCAGCUUAAAGACAUGGUGACUUUUUACUUAGGCUGCAGCUUCUCAUUUGAAAAGGCAGCCCACAAGGUUGGUGUUCCUCUAAGGAACGUUGAGCAGAAAUGCAACGUAAGCAUGUACAAGACAGAUAUGCCUUGCUGCAGAGUUGCUAGUUUUUGCUGCAAUUUAGUGGUCACAAUGAGACCAAUUCCUGAAGACCAGUUAGAAGCAGUUGUGGAAGCUUCUUGUCCAUUGAAAGACUCACAUGGAGCACCAGUUCACAUUGGUAACCCUGGCCUAUUAGGAAUCCAAAACCUUUCCAGACCAGACUAUGGAGAUCCAGUUCAACCUCACCCUCAGGAUGUUCCAGUGUUUUGGGCCUGUGGAGUAACAGGGGUGGAAGCAGUCAACAACUGCAAGUCUCCGCUGGCUUUUACACUUUCUCCUGGGUGCAUGUUUAUUACUGCCCUGAAGAAUGAAGAUGCUCCAGUUCAUAACUCUAAAGAAAUCCCCACGGUCCACUGCAUUUCUCAAAAUCCUUUGCAUUAUAGCAUUGCAUCAGAAACAGCUGUGCAAAAGAUAAGAGAGCUAGAAAGUCUAAUUGGAGUAGAUCCAGGAGACCGGGGUGUGAAACAUUUGUGCUGCCAGGAUGAGCUGCUAAAGACUUGCCUCUCCCUUUCACAUGCCCAAUCAGUGCUGAUAACCACUGGAUUUCCUACUCACUUCAACCAUGAGCCACCUGAAGAGAAUGAUGGACCUCCAGGAGCCAUUGCUAUGGCAGCCAUGUUGCAGAGCUUGGAGAAAGAUGUUGUUAUAGUAACAGACCAGAGAGCCAUGGGUUUGAAUAAAAAGAUUAUUGAGGAUUGUGUUCAGCAAGGGGUACUGAAGACACCAGUGCCUCUAUUGAGUUAUCAGGGAGAUGCUGCAGAGUCAGCUUUGAUGUUUUUGUGUGAGAAUGGGAAUCUUGAAAGACCCAGAUUUGAUCACCUGAUAGCAAUAGAACGUGCAGGGAUGGCUGCUGAUGGCAAUUAUUACAAUGCAAGGAAAGUCAAUAUUAAGCAUCUAGUGGAUCCCAUAGAUGAACUGUUUCUAGCUGCACAUAACAUCCCUGGAGUCACAACAACAGGCAUUGGGGAUGGAGGAAAUGAACUGGGAAUGGGAAAAGUAAAAGAAGCUAUAAGGAAACACAUAAAAAAUGGAGAUGUUAUAGCUUGUGACGUUGAAGCUGAUUUUGCUAUUGUAGCCGGGGUCUCUAACUGGGGAGGCUAUGCUGUUGCUUGUGCUCUGUAUAUCCUCAACACCUGUGAAAUACAUGAUCGCUAUCUGAGGAAAGCUAUUGGGUUCCCCAGAUUGUCCAAGAAGGCAAACUGGGCAUCAGCACUUCCAUCCAUUACUAAGGAAGAAAAGUUGCUGAAAACACUUAUACAGCAUGGAGUCCGUAGUGGAGUAACUGCCAGUCUCGAAAUGGAAGUGGAUGGACUGCCCUUCUACAACAUACACUCAGUUAUAAUUGAAAAACUGCUGGAGCAGAUACCGUGAUGACUUUGCCCUAACCAUUUCUAAACUCUAAAGUUUCUAUUAGAUUCUCUCUCCACCCCAAUCUAACAACAAGACUCAUCUCAGAGCCCAAUUCUCCAAAGGUGGGAAAGACAGAAGUAGACUCUCCUCAACAUCUGAAGAUGCCCCAAUCACUCCUCCUGUUCCUGGUUUAAACACAACACAAAGACAAACAUUCACUACUCACUCUCACACCUGCAAGAGGUUCUUUCCUCUCCAAUCUCUCCAUAUCCUAAACAAAAACGUAGCCAAAAACGUAGUGCCUUCCCAAAGCAGUUAAACUUAAAAAAAAAACAAUACAAAACUAUGCAACACCAUGUCUGUGCCAAGUACUGUCUGCUGGCGAUGGUAUAGGAAACAACAUAAAAGCCUUCGCAAACUCAAACUGAAUAAUAAUCUGUAGCUAGGGUGGGUCCUUUGAUUUGAAUGACGCAUUACAGGAAAUCCCUCUACACUCCCGCCCACACCUUCAGUCGCGGGGCCAGAGGGCCUAUUCCAAAGAGCCUUCCUUAGGCACGUAUAAAGUUUGCACUCAGCCCUUCUCACACACAAGACUGAUUUCCAUGAACAGUUUCGGUAGUAGGAUGUGCCUUUGUGCACACAAUGGGUUGACUCUGUGGCACUGGAUCUCUUGAUCUCUAACUGCCUCUACCCCUACCCCUGUCACACACCGAAGACAGACUUGAAUCAUUGUCUUUUAUUGCAGGAGAUGGGCCAAGGUUUACGUUUUAGAUCAAAACUUCCCCAAAGCUUGAGGUUGUUUAUAUUUGGGACUUUGACUUUUAUCAAAACAAUGGGCUGAACCAGACAUGAAGUUCACUUCCAAGUUUAAGGUGAAAAGGGACCAUUAGAUUGUAGGAGCAGGAUUUUAUAAUUGUACUAUGAGAAUUAAUGUAUGAUUUGAUUUCAUCCUGCCAGCCACCCUUUUUGAAUAGCAGAAAGGAAUGACCCUCUGGAACUAUGGGAUUCUGUUUCCCAUAUGCAUUACAAAUUGGGCCCUUUUUAGUUCUUUGUUUUAAUGUUUAGUUCUUAAGAGACAGGAUUCUGUAUUGUGUCGAUGUUAAGUUGAUUAAAGGAACAUUAAAGGCCUGGGCCUCAAUGGGAAUUGUUUUGGUUAUAAAACUUAGCAAGGUUUAAUUUACAAUGUCUUUUUGCUCGAUAUGCAAUACUGCUGUUUGUAUUCUCAAAGGUCUCUGUAAAAGACUGUUUGUGUGAAUGAGGAAUGCAUGCAUCAGGAAAAGAUAAGGUGUGAAGGCCACUGUUAACCAGAUGGUCAAGAAAGGAGGAGCGAAGACACAUAUUGAGACUUAUUGACACCAGAGAACCAUCAACAUGCAUCCAUAAGUGAGGAAGGGCAGAUUGACGACCAUGAGGUGGAGGCUGGCACCCCUAAAGAAAAUUGAUUAAUUCAAAUCCGGGACAGGAUGAUCCUCUCGGAGGUGUUUUGGAAUGUUUACAUCAAAAGAUAACACCAAUUAAGGAGUAACCGGUCAUAAAGUGACACAGCAAAAUCCAUAGACUUCAACAGAGGAAAAAAGACUGUAAGAACAGGGUGCUUUACCAUGGGACUUUGGGUUUCUCUUGCCAGUACUCCAGGAGCAUCGGAUCACAACUGACAG